rnacentral:misc_RNA from 1 species
UUUUCAUUUUAGAUUUUUUUUUUUGCCAUAUGGUGCACAUAUAUCUCUAGGUUUUACCAAUAUUAUAACUAUUUAAAGUCUAUUUUUUAUGUGUUUAGAAAUGUAUAAUAUAUGCAUGGGAUGUGUGCGCAUAUUUUGUGUUUUGAUAAGUAAUCAUGUAUUAGUUAAAUAAAAAGGGUUGAUAUGGCCUUAUACAGCCAUAAAACUGCACCUGCUAGUUAAAUUUCAGGGUUAGAGACUCUAACAUCUAUGCAUGUGUAGAAAUACACACAAAGUCACAAACACACAACUAAUCCACCAUCCUCAUAUAAUAAUCUCAAAUUAAUCAAAGCACAACUAAUCCACCUUCCCAGCAAGCCAAAAAAUUGAAAAAAUACGCUGCAAAUAGUUUACCAAAAUAAGCAUGCGUGUAAGACUAGAAAGUACUUAGUAAUAAACCCUACAUAAAUUUUAGACCAUAUCAAUUAUCUAAAUAAUUGACCUUAUUAAGCACAAAUACAAAUUCUAUCAAACUUUUACCUUCAAAUAAAUUCACAAUUUAGGUGGCCAGCUCUAAUAAAUUUGGCUUUGUGUCUAAAGCAAUUGAGCAACAUCAAAUAUCAACAAGAGGACACAAUGCUUCAAGAAAUGUUAUUAACUAGUUACAUGUAGAAGCAUUGGUCACAAUCAUGUGUAAAACCAUUCAGGCAAAGAAAAAUUAAAACCUUAUAUCAGAAAAAUAUUGUGUUUCAGUA